rnacentral:rRNA from 1 species
AGGGAAUCUUCCACAAUGGGCGAAAGCCUGAUGGAGCAACGCCGCGUGAGUGAAGAAGGAUUUCGGUUCGUAAAACUCUGUUGUAAGGGAAGAACAAGUAGCGUAGUAACUGGCGCUACCUUGACGGUACCUUAUUAGAAAGCCACGGCUAACUACGUGCCAGCAGCCGCGGUAAUACGUAGGUGGCAAGCGUUGUCCGGAAUUAUUGGGCGUAAAGCGCGCGCAGGUGGUCCUUUAAGUCUGAUGUGAAAGCCCACGGCUCAACCGUGGAGGGUCAUUGGAAACUGGGGGACUUGAGUGCAGAAGAGGAUAGUGGAAUUCCAAGUGUAGCGGUGAAAUGCGUAGAGAUUUGGAGGAACACCAGUGGCGAAGGCGACUACCUGGUCUGUAACUGACACUGAGGCGCGAAAGCGUGGGGAGCAAAC